ensembl:lincRNA
AAGACAAAACAACAAAAAAGGACUUUUCCCAGAUCUCAGGGAGCCAGGAAUAUGGAGCUAGUUAUCAACGAAAACUAAAUUAAAAAGUCCCAUUAGAAAACGGGCUUUUCCCCGAUGUUAGGGAGCCGAGAAUAUGGAGCUAGUUAUCUCCCGCAGGCUGGAGGACAAGUGUAGUGCCCACCCCGUCCCCGCAGAGAUUGUGCAGAGCCCUCAGGGUGUCUGGAAGCCCAAGAAGGCGGGGAACGCCGCACACUAGAGCCGCUUUUUUCUCCAUGGAGACGGCAUCGACGCAGCAAGAAAUGGCCGCAACGGUGGGACUUAGCAGGGAACAGGACCGGCCCGGGAGGACGCGAGGAAGGGUGGCUGCGGAGCCCCGAGGCAGCGGGCUCCCGUCUGCGGUCUUGGGCCCGCCAGGUGCGCAGCGGCGCGCGGUGCCCACCCAGCCCUCCCGCCAGCCUCACCUUACAUCUUUAUGGUCCCUUUGGGCCCCAGGUUGGUCCUCAGCACGUCCUGCAGACCCCGCGCACCGCUAAUGUUGAACGCCAGCGCCGCCUGCGCUCCGGCCACCUUGGCCUUGGGGUUCAGAGUCUUCGCCGCCGCCAUAGCUGCUCCAGAGGAAGAAAAGAAAGCGAUGCGGCACGCGGAGACCCCAGAGCCGGCGCGCCGUGGCCGGGAUGCACUAUCCGGAUCUUCCGGAAAAGUCGGCGCGCCCGGCCCGCCCCUAGCGUGCCCGCGCCGCCGCUAUUGGGCCACGAGCUGUCCAGCGCCCGCUCAUUGGUCCGCGGCUGCACGGUGCCGGCGGUCCCACCCCUCACCCCGCGGCCGCGACGCUAUAGCGCACUGGAGUAGCCUGUUCCUGGCAGUAAGUGCUUCUGGGUUCUGGCGUUGCUGCUCAGUGGGGCCCAAGUUUGCGGACCCGGGAUCUCAGGAUGCAGGCAGGGCUUGUGCCCCGCGCCGGACAGGGCGUAGGGGUCCCAGUCCAUUGCCCAAGCUGAAGGUCAGUGGCACGAACAUGUUUCACUGCAGCCUCAACCUCCUGGGCUCAAGCUGUCCUGCCUCAGCCUCCCGUGUAGCUGGGACCACAAGCACUCGCCAUCACACCUGGAUAAUUUUUUGAUGUUUCAUGGAGACAGUGCUUCACUUUGUUGCCUAUGCUGGUCUUGAACUCCUGGCCUCAAGCAAUCCUUCUGCUUUGGCCUUCCAGAGUGCUGAAAUUACAGGUUUGAGUCACUGUGCCCGGCUUCCUUCUGCUUCUUUCCUGGAUUUUGUCAGUUUUGUCUCUUCUCCUUGUCUUGUUUUGUCAUCUUUUCCAUGAAUUCCUGUAUUUGUAUUUUGUUUGUCUUCCAUAGAAAGAAUUCAUUUUUUUUUUUCCAAACAGAUCUUUUUGAAUCUUGGCUCACUGCAACCUCAGCCUCCUGAGUUCAAGCAAUUCUCCUGCCUCAGCCUCCCUAGUAGCUGGGAUUACAGGUGUGCGACACCACACCCGGCUAAUUUUUCUAUUUUUAUUAGAGACAGGGUUUUGCCAUGUUGCCCCAGCUGGUCUCCAACUUCUGGCCUCAAGUGAUCCGCCCACCUUGGCCUCCCAAAGUGCUGGGAUUACAGGUGUGAGCCACUGUGCCCAGUGCACUCACAUGUUUCUGAUGUCUCUCCAUGUCCAAAUUUUCUCUUCUUACAAGGACACAGGUCAGAUUAGAUUAGGGCUCACUUUAGAGACCUCAUUUUAACAUAAUCACCUCUUUAAAGACCUUGUCUCUGUGCCAGGUGAGGUGGCUUACAUCUGUAAUCCAGCACUUUGGGACACUGAGGUGGGCAGAUCAUGAGGUCAAGAGAUCAAGACCAUCCUGGCCAACAUGGUGAAAACCCGUCUCUACUAAAAAUACAAAAAUUAGCUGGACAUGGUGGCGGGCACCUGUAGUCCCAGCUACUCAGGAGGCUGAGGCAGGAGAAUCGCUUGAACCCAGGAGGUGGAGGUUGCAAUGAGCUGAGAUCACACCACUGCACUCCAUCCUGGCAACAGAGUGAGACUUGGUCUCAAACAAACAAACAAACAAACAAAAACCUUGUCUCCAAAUAUAGUCACAUUCUGAGGUAUUGGGGGUUAAGACUUCAAGAUAUGGACUUUGGGGGAACACAGUUCAUUCAGCCCAUAGCAAAGGUGUCCCUUCCUUUUUUCUUUCUUUAAUUCAUUAUAGAAUGAGUUGUAUUUUCCUGGACCGAUCAUUUGCAAGGGUCUUCUCUGAAGGAAAGACAAGAGGGACCAGGGUAGUUUUACAAGCUUCUCAAUGCAAAUGAAGGUUUUCAGCUGCCACAGUCAGACUGUGUCAUUCAAUGUGGCUCUUGGUAGUUUUUGUGUAGUUCUGCCUCCUUUGCUGUGUACUAUUUUUUGUUUUGUUUUAUUUUUGUUAUUUUUUCUUUGCACUGUUCUAAACUGGCCCUGUAGGGCUUCGCCUCCCAGUCCAGUACUCCCUAGCAUCACCACCAAUCACUGCACAAAGGGCACCCAGCCCCUGUGUUUCUGGUGAGCUCUUCAUCUACCUUUUUUUUUUUUUUUGAGACAGUCUCUCUGUUGCCCAGGCUGAAGUGCAGUGGCACGAUCUCAGCUCACUGCAACCUCCACCUCCAGGGUUCAAGGGAUUCUUGUGCCUCAGCCUCCCGAGUAGCUGGGAUUACAGUCGUGAGCCAGCAUGUCUAGCCUUUUUUGGUAUUUUUUUUGCAGAGAUGGGGUUUUGCUAUGCCACCCAGGCUGGUCUCAAAUUCCUGGACUCAAGCAAUCCACCUGCCUUGGCCUCCCAAAGUGCUGGGAUUACAGGCGCGAGUAGCUCUCUCUCUCUCUCUCUCAAGUGAUAGAGUCUUAGGGCCAGGCACAGUGGCUCACGCCUGUAAUACCAGCACUUUGGGAGGCCAAGAUGGGCAGAUGAUGAGGUCAGGAGUUCCAAGACCAGCCUGACCAGCAUGAUGAAACCCCGUCUCUACUACAAAUACAAAAAUUAGCUGGGCUUGGUGGUGUGCACCUGUAAUCCCAGCUACUCAGGAGGCUGAGGCAGGAAAAUUGCUUGAACCUGGGAGGCUGAGGUUGCAGUAAGCCGAGAUCGUGCCACUGCGCUCCAGUCUGGGCCACAGAGUAAGACUCUAUCUCAAAAAAAAAAAGAUUCUUGUUAUGAUGACCAGGCUCGUCUCAAAUUCCUAGGCUCAAGCAAUCCUUUUGCCUUAGCCUCCCAAAGUGGUUGGAUUAUAGGCAUGAGCUACCGUGCUGGCCAAAAUAGAAUGUUAGUGACACACCCUACAUUGAAUUUACUUGGAAGGCUGAUUCUUUUCCCAUGCCCUCCCUAGGAGAGUGAGCUGGGUGUUAGGACCUUAACUCUGCCCAUAAGAUGCUCAGGCCAGGAGAGAUGCCCUUCACCCCUUGGAUUACAAGGGUUUCAACUCCCUUUCUGCUUGUUUGAGCCUUGCCCUCAGUUCUUUUUAUCCCUGCUCUGCUGUGCUUGUUUCAAACAACACAUUUUUGGACUGUGGCAUGAACGGCUCAUCUUCAGAGAGUCUGUUUUAGCUAGUUUCCUAGGAUCUGCAUCUGCCUCUUCGCGUGUAACUUUGGUAGCCCUUGUGCAGGUCUUGGAGUCUCCAGUGACUUUUUGUCUUCUAGUUUUGCUGAAUAUGGGAUUUCUGCCUCAUUCCCCCCCACUAUGUCUCCCUAUCACUUUGCAUAAUUUCUAGGAGGAGGAAGGGGAAGAUUCGGUCAAAUAUUGCUGCAGUUCUUAUACUAUAAUCAUAUCGCUUUGUAAUAUAAAUUUCCCCCACUUUUUCCAUUAUAAAGAUAGCUGUAGGCCAGAUGUGGUGGCUCAUGUCUAUAAUCCCAGCGCUUGAACCCGGAAGGUGGAGAUUGCAGUGAGUUGAGAUUGCACCACUGCACUCCAGCCUGGACGGCGACAGAGCCACGCACUGUCUCAAAAACAUAAAAAUAAAUAAAUAAAUGAAUGUUUCAUCUUUUAUAUAGCUAUAUAGACAUAGAUGUAUAACCAUAUACCAUACCUGGAUAUAGACACACGUAGAGAUUUAUUUGUUCAAAAAUGGGGGCUCACAUUAUAUAUAUAUGUUCUGCAACUUCCUUUAUUCAUGUGACAUAUCAUGGGCAUAUUUCCAUGGUGUGACUUAUUUUGAAUGCUAAUGUUUAUAUUAAAACACAUUUCAAACUGUGUUCGCUGUGUUCUUUUAAGACAUUCAUGCUAUUUUAAUGUAUUGGUAUUAUUUGUUUAUUUAUUUUGAGAUGGAAUCUUUCUCCGUCACCAGGCUGGAGUGCAGUAGCGCGAUCUCGGCUCACUGCAACCUCCACCUCCUGGGUUCAAGCGAUUCCCCUGCCUCAGCCUCCCAAGUAGCUGGGACUACAGGUGCGGACCACCAUGCCCAGCUACUUUUUUGUAUUUUAGUAGAGAUGGGGUUUCACCAUGUUGGCCAGGAUGGUCUCGAUCUCCUGACAUCGUGAUCUGCCUGCCCCGGCCUCCCAAAGUGCUGGGAUUACAGGUGUGAACCACCGUGCCCAGGCAGCAAUGUAUUGCUAUUUAACAUAUUGAUAUGAAAUAUUAAAUUUGUUAGCAAAUAUUUUAUACACACAGAUACAAAAAGCAUCUGUACACCUACUAUCCUACUUAAAGGAACAUUAUUAUUAUAAUGCCAUUGAUUAAUUCUACAUACCUUUUCUCAAUCUCAUUUCCUUUCUUACUUUCAGAAGUAACUACUCUCCUGCAGUUUAUGUUGUAAGUUAUCAUUUAUGACAUUAAAUGAUAUUCUCUUUUUAAAGUUUCCAAUGGCUAUUGGAGUAUCACAGUAAUCACAGUAACUGAGAAUGUUCACAGUAUUGCUGUAAAAAUUCUUAUAUAUGUGGCUCCUCCAAUCAUACAACUUUCCUUUUUUUUUUUUUUGUAGACAGAGUUUCACUCUUGUUGCCCAGGCUGGAGUGCAAUGGCGUGAUCCCAGGUCACCGCAACCUCUGCCUCCCGGGUUCAAGCGAUUCUCCUGCCUCAGCUUCCCCAGUAGCUGGGAUUACAGGCAUGCAUCAAUACGCCUGGCUAAUUUUGUAUUUUUAGUAGAGACGGGGUUUCUCCAUGUUGGUCAGGCUGGUCUUGAACUCCCGGCCUCAGGUGAUCUGCCUGCCUCAGCCUCCCAAAGUGCUGGGAUUACA